CUGAAGUGCUCCAGCUCAGAGGAGGAGGAGGGAGAGGGAUGGCUCAGGGGACUGAGCUGGAAAAAAAAAGGCCUCAGAAGGGAAAUGGAGGCCCAGAAAGCUUUGGUGAGCAGCUCGAGAUUACAUAGGACAUGGAGACCAGAACUCAUGUUUCCUCAAAUAGUUCAUUUCCAGGGGGCUUUUAGGCUAUUAAUUCUAUAAUCUGCCCUCUGUCUGCCUCAGGGACUCUCCCCUCCAACCCCCAUUUGGACCAUGAACUGAUGCCAAUGGCACCAAGGAAGCAUCAACUGAUACUGGGCAGAAGGGCAGGGCAGUGGCCCCUGGGAGUCUUCAUGGCUCCUCUGGCAGAAAGUACCUGGAGGCAUCAGCUCAUGGACCUGGAGCAUAUCAGCAAGGAACAGAGAUAAACUGUACCGCAUCACCACCCUGGCACUACUCAUGAGAAACUUUCCCAACCAUUAUGCUUGGUUGACUUGGCCGGAAAGGAGUUAACACACAACAUGUGAGGAGUACACUGAGUAGGGAGCUGUGUUCUUGGGUGACCUGUGGGUAUCUGGGCCCAUUUAAUGCACCAAGUCUUCAAAUAGUGGCAGCCAUCACAGGCUCUUCUGUCUGCUUGUGCAUGCACAUGGGGAUCCUUCACUUGGUGGCUUCUCCCCAAGCAAACGUUUUUAGCCCAUCCUGGAUUCUCCUCACUGCCCUCUCUACCCUGGGAAAUGCAACCCACAUUGUCCAAGUCAGACCUAAUUAGACCAGCAAAUCAGUGGCACUCAAGUCAUCACAGCACACUCCAAGCACAAGAGGAAAUGCUGUGUAGGUUAUCCUGUGCGCUGCUUGUUGUGUCUGUUUGUGUUUCCUUGGAUUAUCCAUUCUCUGCUCCCUGCCUUCCAUUACCUCACUAAUGGAGAGGCAGGAUGCAGUCCUCCACAGGCCAGCAUUCAUCUUCCCAGUCUGACCCUCUCGGAGGCUAUUACGCUGCUGUCGCAAGAUCGACGAGGGGAGAAAAAUGAAAACAGUGCACAGGGAACAAUGGAGGGCAAAUGGGACUCUUUUAGAACCGGAUCCACUGAUACGUCAGGCCAAGGAGAAAUGACCACAAGCUCUGAAAAGUGGAGAGCUCCCCCAGACGGCAAAGCCAGGUGAGUGGGCUUCCCCACUGGGCUGCCCACAGUAAGAGGCCAGGCUGGUGGGGAUAGAAGGGUGUCUGUCUGCAGAAGGCUGGGCAGCCUAGGCCCCACAAAAUGAGAGGAAGGUUACUGAGGUCAUUGCUGCCCCUGCCUCAGUUAAAAAAUUAGAAAUCCUCCCCACCCAGCUCUGUUUGUCUCCCCACAAAGCAUUGCAGAAGAAAACACGGAAGCCGCCAGCACUAUUAUGCAUUCAUGAUUCCAGCUUCAACCAGUCCUCUCUGCUGCAAUCCCUUUAUUCCUCCUCUGCAGCUGCCCCGGCACCUCUGCACAGUCCUUUUCUGAAUCUGCCCCUCACCGUGCUCCCCACCUGCACGCCGUCCUCAGAACAGAUUGCCUUGCCUGACCUCCUGAGGCCGACGGAGAUGGUGAUGUGACCUCCUUUGCCCUCCAUCACUGUGCCUCCCACACCUCUGCGCAGCUCGUUCAUUCUCUCUCCCUCCACUCUGACUUAAGGGAAGAGGAAUUUUAAAACCAACCUCAUCCCUUCCCACCUCCUCAGGAAACUCACUCCUUUGCUUACCCUCUCUCCACUUUUAAAAAUAACGAUAUAAAUGCCCCUUUCGCCUGUGAUUCCUUCUGAGCACAGACCCUUCUUGCUUAAGCCCCUGUGAGUUAAUUUUCAGUCUCACAGCUCUUCUCAAUCCAACAGUAU
rnacentral:lncRNA from 1 species